CCUACGGGUGGCAGCAGUGGGGAAUAUUGCACAAUGGGGGAAACCCUGAUGCAGCGACGCCGCGUGAGGGAAGAAGGAUUUCGGGAUGUAAAGCUCUAUCAGCAGGGAAGAAAAUGACGGUACCUGAGUAAGAAGCUCCGGCUAAAUACGUGCCAGCAGCCGCGGUAAUACGUAUGGAGCAAGCGUUAUCCGGAUUUACGGGGCGUAAAGGGAGCGUAGGCGGCCUGCCAAGUCUGAUGUGAAGUACCGGGGCUCAACCCCGGGGCUGCAUUGGAAACUGGCAGGCUGGAGUGCCGGAGAGGCAGGCGGAAUUCCUAGUGUAGCGGUGACAUGCGUAGAUCUUAGGAGGACCCCCAGUGGCGAAGGCGGCCUGCUGGACGGUGACUGCCGCUGAGGCUCGCACGCGUGG
rnacentral:rRNA from 1 species